GAAUUGCAGAACUCAGUGAAUCAUUAAGUACUUGAACGCAAAUUGCACUAGUAGUAAUACUAGUACACCUGUCUGAGUGUACGUUAAAUUAAAUUACAUAUAUUAUGUAAAUAAUGAAUAUCUAACUUUUUGUUGUUAUUUUAAAUCUAAGUUAUGAUAAUUUUAUUUUCAACAUUGCUUGAAUUUAUUCAUAGUUAAUGUUAACUUUAUAAAUUAUCUUCAUUUUAUAAUCAUCAAUCACGACCUCAUAUCAAGUGAGAUUACCCGCUGAAUUUAAGCAUAUUAAUAAGCGGAGGAAAAGAAACUAACAAGGAUUCCUUUAGUAACGGCGAGUGAAGAAGGAAUAGCUCAAAUUUAAAAUCAUGAAUCUCUGGUUUAUGAAUUGUAGUUUUAGAAGUUGGAUUCGUUUUUCAAUAAUAUACUUAAAUCCUAUGGAAAAAGGUAUCAUAGAAGGUGAAAAUCCUGUUUAUAGUAUAUUAAUUGAGGGACAUAUGUAUCUGAUUUCAAGAGUCGGGUUGUUUGGGAAUGCAACCUAAAAUGGGUG
rnacentral:rRNA from 1 species